AGUGAACGCUGGCGGUAGGCCUAACACAUGCAAGUCGAACGGCAGCACAGUAAGAGCUUGCUCUUACGGGUGGCGAGUGGCGGACGGGUGAGGAAUACAUCGGAAUCUACUUUUUCGUGGGGGAUAACGUAGGGAAACUUACGCUAAUACCGCAUACGACCUACGGGUGAAAGCAGGGGAUCUUCGGACCUUGCGCGAUUGAAUGAGCCGAUGUCGGAUUAGCUAGUUGGCGGGGUAAAGGCCCACCAAGGCGACGAUCCGUAGCUGGUCUGAGAGGAUGAUCAGCCACACUGGAACUGAGACACGGUCCAGACUCCUACGGGACGCAGCAGUGGGGAAUAUUGGACAAUGGGCGCAAGCCUGAUCCAGCCAUACCGCGUAGGUGAAGAAGGCCUUCGGGUUGUAAAGCCCUUUUGUUGGGAAAGAAAAGCAGCAGGUUAAUACCCCGCUGUUCUGACGGUACCCAAAGAAUAAGCACCGGCUAACUUCGUG
rnacentral:rRNA from 1 species